AGGAAGAACAGGAAAAGACGUUGGCAAUCGCAAACACAAGAAUAUGACAAAAAUGGCUACUGAAAUAGAAGUGAACUUUGAUGUACAAUACUGAGAGUAGGUCUUUUUGAAUAGAAUUUGAAUUGAAUUCAACCAAGACAUUUUUUUAAGUUGACAAGUCUCAUGGCACACCCCAAAAAGGUAAUGUUUCAAGAAAACUCUCCAAUUCGCUGAAACUUUUUCUGGAGUUGCUAGUAUGCACGCUCUUCAAAGCCUUGUGAAGAAGAGGGACGGAAGCCGGUACAAAAGUCCGCCUGAGAAAGAGGGGACCUCGCCUUAUCCUUCUGACGAUCCAUCUUGCGAACCUACGCUCUUGACCCAAAAAAAUGGAUGAACUUCAGCUUCUGAUUAAAACAAAAGGCGGUGGAAUAUACUUUUAAAUCAAUGAGAAAUGGUGCACGGACGUUACACACACACUGCAGCCCGCUUUUAGAGUCGCUGUUUUUGAACGGUAAGCAGUUUUAAUCACCACGUGAGUUCACAUCUUUCAUCCUAGUCUGUGUUUACAUUGCGCCUCAAGCUACCAUGAACGCAGUACUGUUAACGCUCGCUGAGCAGAUGAAUGAGAUUGAGAUAUCUUUCUCGCUUCUCAUACAGUGCAGAUGCUUUUAUCUUUGCUCUUGUUUUGUCUCUGACACUUUUUUUUUUUUUUUUGGACCAAAACAAAGCGGUCAGAGCAUAUAAUGCCAAUCCUAAAGUCCUUGCACUAGCUUCCAAUCAGCUUUAGAAAAGAUUUUAAAGUUCUGCUACUGGUCUAUAAAUCAUUCAAUGAUUUAGGUCCUGAAUGCAUUAAAGAAAUGCUUACAGAAGACAAACCCAGUAGAGCUCUGAGAUCGACUGACUCAGGUCAAAUAGUGGAGCGCAGAGUCCAAAGCAAACAUGGUGAACCAGCAUUGAGCUUUGCUGCACAAAAAUGGAAAAAGUUCCCAACAGAGGUAAAUGACUUGGAGCCCAAAUGUGAAUGUUUUUAAACCCAGGUUGAAAACUCUUCUUUUUUUAUCAUGCUUUUGAGAAUAUAUCCACUUUUUGAUCAUAUUACUUGCAUUGUAUACAGUUUUGUCUUUUUUUUAUAUUUUGUCCGUCAUUUUUAUUGUUUUUAUCCCGUUUAUGUUUUAUCUCUUUGUUUUCAAAUGCCUUUAAUCAUGUAAAGCACAUUGAGUUACCUUGUGUAUGAAAUGUGCUAUACAAAUAAAUUUGCUUUGCUUUGAGAAAAAACACCCAGAUUCAAUGCUCAUUAGCCGAGGAGAUUUUAACAGCUGAACUUAACCACAUCUUUUUUUUUUUUCCCCUUUUUAGCUUGUCCUGACUAGGGGUCGCCACAGCGUGUCAUCUUUUCCCAUCCAAGCCUAUCUUGUGCAUCAUCCUCUCGAAUACCCACUGUCCUCAUGUCCUCCCUCACAACAUCCAAUCUUUUCUUUGGUCUUCCUGUUGCUCUUUUGCCUGGGAGCUCCAUCCUCAGCCCCCUUCUACCAAUAUACUCACUCUCUUGCCUCCGAACAUGUUCAAACCAAUGUCUGCUCUCUCUAACCUUUUCUCCAAAACAUCCAACUUUGGCUGUCCCUCUAUUGAGCUCAUUUGUAAUCCUAUCCAACCUGUUCACACCAAGCAAGAACCUCAGCAUCUUCAUUUCUGCUACCUCCAGUUCUGCUUCCUGUUGCUUCUUCAGAGCCACCGUCUCUAAUCCGUACAUCAUGGCUGGCCUGUCAUGGGCUUUCUCUAGGUCUACGAAGAUACAAUGUCUCUCCUUCUGACCUCUGUACUUUUCCACGAGGAGCCUCAAGGCAAAUAGUGCAUCUGCGGUUCUCUUUCUAGGCAUGAAACCAUACUGUUGCUCGCAGAUACUUCUGUCCUUAGUCUCGCCUCCACUAGUCUUUCCCAUAAAUUCAUUGUGUGGCUCAUCAUCUUUACUCCUCUGUCAUUUCCACAGUUCUGAACAUCUCCUUUGUUCUUAAAAACGGGGACAAGCACACUUUUCCUUCAUUCUUCUGGCAUCUUGUCUCUCGCUAGUAUUCUAUUGAAUAAGUUGUUCAGAAACUCCACACCCACCUCAACAAAUUGCUUCCAUACCUCCACUUGUAUGUCAUCGAGACCAACAUUCAUGCUUGCCUCUUCUACACUACCUUCUCUCCCAUUUUCUUCAUUUGAGAAGUUAAUUCUCAAAGUACUCCAUCUACUUAGCACACUACUGGCACUAGUCAACAUAUUUCCAUCGCUAUGCUAAAUCACCUUUACUACAUGCUGCACAUCCUUCCCAUUUCUAUCCCUCUGUCUUGCCAACCUCCAGAGAUCCUUUUCUCCUUCUUUCGCAUCCAACGUGGAGUACAUGUCGUCAUAUGGCUCUUGUUUAGCCUUCGCCACCUCUACCUUUGCCCUACAACAGAUCUCAAUGUAUUCUUCCGCCUCUCCUCAGUCCUCUCCGUGUCCCACUUCUUCUUUAAUCUCUUUCCUUGUAUGACUUCCUGUAUUUUGGCGCUCCACCACCAAGUCUCCUUCUCCCCUUUCCUACCAGAAGACACCCCAAGUAUUCUCCUGCCUGCCUCUCUGAAUACCUUGGCAGUAGUAUUCCAGUCUUCUGGGAGCUCUUCCUGUCAAUCUAGAGCAGUGAUCUCCAACCUUUAUAGAGCCAAGGCACAUAUUUUACAAUUGGAAAAAUCCCACAGCACACCAACAAAAGUAAAUGUCACCAAAAAUGGAUCGAUUAAUUACUGUAUGUACUUCCUGCUAUCUCAUAGAAGAUGAUUUUUUUGUUCUGUCUCUCAUUGUGCCUCACUGGCAUAAAUAGAUGAAUAAAGAUACAUUAUUUCUUGGAAAAAAUGUUUUUUUUCAGCAAUUGCACAAAAUUGGAUAACUUCCCACGGCACCCCCGAAGAGCGCUCACGGCACACUAAUGUACCCCGGCACACUGUUUGGGAAUCACUGAUCUAGAGCCUGUCUCACCUCUUUCCGGAAGGCCACACAACAUUCUACCUUUCUCAAUUUACACCACUUGAUUCUCUGCUCUGCCUUUGUCUUCUUAUUCUUCUUACCUGCUGUCAGUCAUUCUACACACAACCAUCCAAAGCUAUUGCGCUACACUUUCCCCCACUACUACCUGACAGUCGGUAACCUUCAGAUUACACCGUCUGCACAAAAUAUAAUUCACCUGCGUGCUUCUACCUCGGCUCCUGUAGGUCAUUCUAUGUUCCUGUCUCUUCUGGAAAUAAGUGUUCACCAUUGCCAAUUCCAACUUGUUUGCGAAGUCCACCACAAUCUGCCCCUCAAAGUUCCUUUGCUGAAUGCCAUACAUACCCAUAACUUCUUCAUCGCCCUUGUUUCCUUUGCCAACACCUCCAUUGAAAUCUGCAGCAAUCACAACUCUCUCUCUCUCUCUCUCUCUCUCUCUCUCUCUCUCUGGGAUCCUCAGGACUACUUCAUCUAGUUCUUUCCACAAUUUCUCUCUCAACUCUAGGUCACAUCCUACCUGUGGGGCAUAGCCGCUAAUCACAUUAUACACAAUAACCUCAAUUUCAAAUUUCAGCCUCAUCAUUCGAUCUGCUCAUUUCACCUCCAAGACAUUCUUAGCCAGCUCUUUUAAAAUCACCCCGACUCCAUUUCUCUUCCCAUCUACUCCAUGAAAAAUAAUUUAAACCCUGCACCUAAACUUCCAGUCUUACUCCUUUUCCACUUGCUAUCUUGGAUGCGUAAUAUAUCAAACUUUCUCCGAAUCAUCAGCUGAACUAACUCCUGAGCUUUUCCUGUCAUAGUCCCAACAUUCAAAGUCCCUGCACACAGGUCUAACGUUUGUGCAUUCUUCUUCUUCCGACUAAGCCGCUUUCCUCCUCUUUUUUGUCUUUGACCUACAUUAUCUGAAUUUCUACCUAUGCCUUUUAGAUUAAAAUUUCCGGGUGCGGGUGUAGGAAGCCCGGGCCACGACCUAACUGUUAUAGAAUUUGUAUGAUGAACGCUCAUAUAUGUUUGGCACAGUUUUAAGCUGGAUUCCCUUCCUGACGCAACCGUCUGCAUUUAUCCGAGCUUGGGACCGGCCGACAGAUAGCACAAUAAUGUGCUGCCCAACGGGCUGCAGAUAGUCAAAAAGAAGAAGCAAUCAAAUCAACAAAGUCAGCACAUAAGAUAUACAAUUAAUGUCAAAUGCAAGUAAUCACAAACACAGUUAGCACAUACCUGUAAGGUACACAAAUCACAUACUACCUGUGUUAAAAAUAUAAAAAAUAUGGCGAUUUAAAGGACAUGUGGAUGGAGGGGAUUCAAACCACAAUGGCCCUCACUCUUGUAGUUGAAGGUUGAGUCCACGAUUGAUGUUUGGUCCUCGUUGUAUACGCUACGUAUGUAAUGUUAGCGCACUAGGCUAACUUGGGGCAUGCAUCUUCAACGCGAACGAUAUGGCACCAAUUUGGGUACUAAGAUGUACUAAGAUAAGAUUUCUUAAAUUUCCCAAGUCCUCACAGCCGUUGUCGUAGAAUUUAUGAAGUUACUCACGUUCGACGUUUCUUCAACAUCCACAAAUUGAUCACAAAUCCGUGUCUUUGUUAGCAAGCUAAGCUAAGGAAUACUAGGCCGAUAAGCACGUUUAGCAAGCUGAACUUUACCACGAAUUGCCUUUGCCUUGUUAUUUGCCCUUCUUGCACGUGAAAUGUGCAAGGAGGGCAAAUAACAGUCUAGACCAGGGGUGCCCAGACUUUUUUUUACCCCAAGAUCUAUUUCUCAAGCAUCCAACCUCCAGUGAUCGCCUGGGGGUGGGCUGUGCGGUGUUGAAAUGACCAAUGAUGAAAUAGAAUGACCAAGUCACAAAGAUCUACCCACUACAAAAACAAAAAACAUUUAUUUUAAAGUUCAUUGAGGAAUCUUUAUAUGUAAAUGUAUGUUUGUAUAACUUGCAUAACCACAUGAGCCAAUAUUACACAACAUAAUUAACUAAACAUUUUUUGUAACCAUCUGAGUGCACGCUAAUGAUCACAAAACACCAUACGAAUGAAAAUGCACACUUGGGCUGUGUCACUCAUGUUAGUGGAUUCGUCCAACUGCAAUGAGAAACACAAUGUGAGAUGUCCUUCCACAUAUCAGCCAUGGCUUCAUUGUGUAACUGUAUUCCUUGACAGCUGCAGAGAUUUUAUUGGAGAUAAUAUUUCCGCCUUAUUUUUAAAAGAUGACAACAACGAGUCAGUUAUGCCUCUUUUACUAUUUCUCCGUCUUGUAAGGACUUCUUGUUAUUAACGAUGAUGUGACGAACCCGGAAACGAUGGCGGCUUUCACUGUUGAACUACAACGUGACCGCUGUGUGGCCAACUGGGAUUUUAGUUGGUUCAGUUUUCUCAUUCUCAGCUUGCUUUUCGGUGGAAUGUAAGUGCCGUAUUUUCCAUAACCAGUUUGAAAAUGCCGCUCCACAUUUCACUUCACUUGCAGGUGAGGCAAAAGUACCUCAAAAAUGACAUUAUUAAAAAGUUGGCCGCCUCCCAUUCCGUAUGAAAGAGAUACGUUUUUGUCUUCUUUAGUGCAGCAUCCUCAUGUUUGUUAAGAUUUCUUAAGCGAGAGCUUAAAAAAGGCAUGAACUCACUGACAGUGUGUUUUCCUGUACUGUCGUCGUUUCCACAUGCGCGGUGAGCUAAAGUUAAAAAAAGACGGCUGAUGUCUUUUUUUUCCUCAGCACGCCAUCGCAAUCCGACGCAUUGAGCACCCCUGCUAUAGACCAUUGUUACACAUUCAUCAGAAACGCAUAAUGUGCAACCACCUGUGCACCCAUUGGCUCCUCUGAUCCAUGCUUGCUGUACUUAAGUGUAUGGAAGGUCCUCAAUACACCUUUUUGCUAAUUUUGUACAUUUUUUUAUGCAGAAUUCAAAUCUAAAAUCCGUUAUGAAGGAAACCUUUUUUUAUUUUUCGUUUGCGAUGUGCAUUGCUGGAUUCAGCGGAAAAAGCAGUAAACAGAGCAGAAAUAGCUGAGUAGGGGGCAUGACGUGACACAUUGCGCUCCACAUCAUGGCGCCCUUCAACAACAAUGCCAGAAUGAUGAUGGAUGUCCCGGUAAUUCAAGCAAUGAACAUGAAACUGAAGGGUCCCAAGAAGACAGUGAAGAAAACGAGCGUUAAAGGUUAUCAAUUUGAGCCAGUUACACAUCACACACCUUCAAAUGCAGACGAAAUAGCUGGCGAUGAAAGCGCAGAGCAGGGAGGAGGAUAUGCCUCGUGUUGGAAACAAAGACUGGAAGAACAGGACAAGGACAGGAGAAGAAGCAUGAAGACAAGGAUUAAGAACCCGGCUAUACAACUGGAAUGUGGUGGGACUGCAGAGGAUAUACAAUUGGCCGCAUCCAUCUCUGGGCCUCCCCUUGGGUUUCUCCCGAAGGAGAAGAUCCUCUUGAAAAGAUGGAGAUCCGACAUACAUUGAUGCAAAUGGCAUCCCAACGGCAUACGGGUGAGUAUAAAUUGGUUAAUGAGAUUGCUGCAGGAUGGGAAUCCAUCUUGUUAUGGAUAACUAUGAAUAAAAACGUUGACAGAAUCAACUACAUACAUUACAAUGUACAGAAACAAGGUAAUUAUACGCAAGCAGGCUUUAUUGCCAUAAGGGAACAACCAGCUGCAACCUCACUCAUGACGUUCCAGAACCGCAUAGCGGUCGACAUACUCCUGGCCGAGAAGGGUGGCGACUGCUCAAUGUUCGGUGACAAGCGUUUAUUCCAAAUAUCACAGAACCUGAUGGGUCACGCACAAGGGCCAUUCAAGGCUUCCGCACCCUGAACCAGAAGAUGAAGGAGCACUCUGGUGUAAAGACAUCAGCCAGGUCUGAGUGGUGGGAAAAAAGAAAAAGAAAAAAAAAAGUUUGGCAAAUCUAAAAAUUUGGUGUUCUCUGUCCUAGUUUCUAUCGCUGUUUGCAGCUAUUCUUGCAUUGUGUGGAUGUUUUUGUAUUCCCUGCAUAAAGGAAUCACUUAACCAACUUAUAACCACUGCUAUUGCCCCGACUCGAUGUGCAUAUAAGGCGCCAUGCCUAGUGUUGCGCCUUGUCUAUUUAGAAGAGAAUUUAAAACCUUUAGGAUUGUGA